AGUGAACGCUGGCGGUAGGUCUAACACAUGCAAGUCGAACGGCAGCACAGUAAGAGCUUGCUCUUACGGGUGGCGAGUGGCGGACGGGUGAGGAAUACAUCGGAAUCUACUUUUUCGUGGGGGAUAACGUAGGGAAACUUACGCUAAUACCGCAUACGACCUACGGGUGAAAGCAGGGGAUCUUCGGACCUUGCGCGAUUGAAUGAGCCGAUGUCGGAUUAGCUAGUUGGCGGGGUAAAGGCCCACCAAGGCGACGAUCCGUAGCUGGUCUGAGAGGAUGAUCAGCCACACUGGAACUGAGACACGGUCCAGACUCCUACGGGAGGCAGCAGUGGGGAAUAUUGGACAAUGGGCGCAAGCCUGAUCCAGCCAUACCGCGUGGGUGAAGAAGGCCUUCGGGUUGUAAAGCCUUUUUGUUGGGAAAGAAAAGCAGCAGGUUAAUACCCCGCUGUUCUGACGGUACCCAAAGAAUAAGCACCGGCUAACUUCGUG
rnacentral:rRNA from 1 species